rnacentral:pre_miRNA from 1 species
UCAGCAUUUUUACACCUCAGGACGUAAGAUUGCAUCGCUGCCUGGAGUCUUGAAGUAAAACAAUGCUAA